GACUGAGUACCUACCUCUAUCCACAGGCAGGAAGCUUGUCUAAACUGGCAUCUGCUGAAUAUUCCAGCAAUUAUAAACAUACCUGAAAACGGACAUUAUUGGACUCUGAAGUAACGUUGGUUUGUCUGGUAAGGGAGAUGAUAAAGAACAUCUCCACCUUCUCGAGCAGAGUUUGUGAGGCUGAUGGUCUUGAGGAAUAUGUUUUGGACUACACUGACUUCCAAAAAUGUACAAUUAACAUAGCUUUCUGCUUAUGACAUUCAAGUUCCCAAAUCAGGAUGAUGAAUGGAAAAAGCAUGCAGAUAAAGCAUAAUUUGCCCAAACAUGUCAUCAGAAACUGACUUCCUAAAGGGGACUCUCAAGGCCUGGUUAACCUGUCCUGGUACUACUGAAGACAGCAAGAAUCUCGCUGCAGAUUUCAGGGAGAGCAAGAGCAGACCCUGCGAGUGAAGAAACAC